rnacentral:rRNA from 1 species
UAAUGGGUCAGCGACUUAUAUUCUGUAGCAAGGUUAACCGAAUAGGGGAGCCGAAGGGAAACCGAGUCUUAACUGGGCGUUAAGUUGCAGGGUAUAGACCCGAAACCCGGUGAUCUAGCCAUGGGCAGGUUGAAGGUUGGGUAACACUAACUGGAGGACCGAACCGACUAAUGUUGAAAAAUUAGCGGAUGACUUGUGGCUGGGGGUGAAAGGCCAAUCAAACCGGGAGAUAGCUGGUUCUCCCCGAAAGCUAUUUAGGUAGCGCCUCGUGAAUUCAUCUCCGGGGGUAG